GGUUGUUAGGACCAGAAGAGCAGAGACAGGGGAGUCACGGGGUGGGUCUGCAGUGCCACCAUCUUCUACUCCCCACCUUUGUCUCCUGAGAUGAGGCUCAUUUGUAUAUUCAUUUAUGCAAAUGGUUCUAGAGCACCUACUGUGUGUCAGUCACCAGAGGUACUGGCUACAAAACCAAAUCUGCCAGCCUUCUGAAGAUGGAGAUGGGGAAGUCAUGCAGCUUCGCAUCCAGCAAGGGGUAGCACCGGCUCAGACAGGAGGGCGCAAGAGAAACAGAUUCCAUGUCUUGGUGGGAGGAGGGGCAAAGCCAUGUCCAAAGAAUGGCACACAGGAAGGAGGGAUUGUGUGCCCAUCUUUGAAAAGCUGUGGAGAGAGCUGCUCAGCAAGUGGCACUUGGUUCCAGCAGCCCUAGGGAAGGAAUGCAGGGCAUCUGCUAUGAGUGUUUUAGCAGAAGCCCACAAGGAAGAGCAAUGCUUUUCGUACCUAGCACUUCACUUUUAGACCCAAGAAGAUCCCUUGGCCCAAGGGGAAACAGUAGGUGCUCUCUGGCAUUAUUCUUGAAUGAGUGCUCGUUACCUUCGGCCAAUGAACUUCAGGCAGCAUUCCAGAUGAAGGAAACAGGAUGCUGUAGGCACAGUGUCUGCUUAGAAGGAAGAGAUAAGGCUUCCCUGCCAAAGCAAAAAGACUGAUUGAUGCUGAUGGAUUUUGUCCUCUGAGAGAAGGCUGCAGCAUGCUAUUAUUUUCUUUUGAAUGACUUCUAGACGGAAGUUAAUAAAACGCAAAACCAAACCUGGAUUUGAGGCCUGGCUAGGCCCAAGUCUGUGUGACCUUGGAUGAAUUACUUAA